rnacentral:rRNA from 1 species
UACGUAGGUCCCGAGCGUUGUCCGGAUUUAUUGGGCGUAAAGCGAGCGCAGGUGGUUUAUUAAGUCUGGUGUAAAAGGCAGUGGCUCAACCAUUGUAUGCAUUGGAAACUGGUAGACUUGAGUGCAAGAGAGGAGAGUGGAAUUCCAUGUGUAGCGGUGAAAUGCGUAAAUAUAUGGAGGAACACCGGUGGCGAAAGCGGCUCUCUGGCCUGUAACUGACACUGAGGCUCGAAAGCGUGGGGAGCAAACAGG